rnacentral:lncRNA from 1 species
ACAGGGCGGUGAAAUAUCUAAGAGGGCCUCUGAGGUAGCUGGUUAAAAUGCAGCCGCUGCACAGCCAAAGCCGGAACUGUCAGGGAACUGAAGCCCCCUGGCCCUGAACCAAAUCCCGGCACAGGAAAGCCAGGCUGUUUCUUACAGGAAACCCCAUCCAGCGAAUGCCCACUGCUGCCAGUGCCUGUGCGCACCCCGGAGACGCAUCAGACAACCAGCAAAACCAGGCCCAUUGGACUUCACAGAUCUCUCCUGGUGCAGCCGGUUCGGAACCUUGUGGAGUUGGCUGCCUGCCCGGUGCGGAUGGAUCACUUGGGUCUGGGUCUGGGGUCUGGGGUCUGGGGUCUGGGUCUGUCUGGGUCUGGGUUGGUUGGUUGCCUCCACACUUGGACAUUUCUGGUGCAGGAGUUCAUGAGCUCACAGGUACAGUCCCUGAAAACUACAUUGCCAAGGGUUAUAACAGAUCAGAAAACGUAAUUUCCCGCCCCCCCCCCCCGUUCCCACCCCCUACUCCCCUAUGCCCUACAGGCCAGGCCGAGGCAGAGGCAGGCUCACAACCACCUGGAACUCUAGUUCCAAAGGACCUGACACUUUCUUCUGGGUUCCAGGGCUCCUGCAUCCAUUCAGUCUACAUGAACUUAUGCAGACACACACACACACGAACCAUAAAAAUAAUUUUUAAAAUAAAUAUUAAAAGACAGUGGCG